rnacentral:rRNA from 1 species
AUUGAACGCUGGCGGCAGGCCUAACACAUGCAAGUCGAACGAGUGGCGGACGGGUGAGUCAUGUCUGGGAAACUGCCUGAUGGAGGGGGAUAACUCCUGGAAACGGUAGCUAAUACCGCAUACCUUCAAAUGUGCCCAGAUGGGAUUAUCUAGUUGGUGGGGUAACGGCUCACCAAGGAGCCGAUCCCUAGCUGGUCUGAGAGGAUGACCAGCCACACUGGAACUGAGACACGGUCCAGACUCCGACGGGAGGAAGCAGUGGGGAAUAUUGCACAAUGGGCGAAAGCCUGAGGCAGCCAUGACGCGUGUAUGAAGAAGGCCGUCGGGUUGUAAAGUACUUUCAGCGGGGAGGCGUUACCCGCAGAAGAAGCACCGGCUAACUCCGUGCCAGCAGCCGCGGUAAUUC